rnacentral:lncRNA from 1 species
UAUCUGGGUACUGACCUACCCUUGGGUCCUAAGGACCAUUAUUAGGGAAAAUAACCCCUACUAAACACGUCACAUAUAUUCCAGAUAAAUCACAUAACCAAUCCAAGAUAAUUAUCGCAAAGACCAUUAUCUUAUAAAUACCCCUUUUUGGUGGGCCGGCAUUGUGGCCUUAGACCCACCUCUACUGGAAGGUAACUCACCUCAAUGUCAUGCAGUGUCAGAAAUAUCUUCGGCGCACAAGUCGACUCCCUAUGACUCCUCGAUCCUUACACGACNCGGCGCACAAUCAACUCCCUAUGACUCCUUGAUCCCUACACGACAACCUCCAAGUCAACACACAUCACAUAUAACCCUAAACAGGGUCGGUCCAAGUUUAGUCAAAGUCAACAUUCAGUUGACCUGACUCGCCGAGUUGGCCUACCAACUCGUCGAGUCCAUGCUUCUCUAAUCCGACCCACCCCGACUCCACUCGUUGAG